rnacentral:rRNA from 1 species
UUGGCGGACGGGUGAGUAACGCGUGAGCAACCUACCUUUCAGAGGGGGAUAACGUUUGGAAACGAACGCUAAUACCGCAUGAUAUUAUUGGGCAGCAUUGCCUGAUAAUCAAAGGAGCAAUCCGCUGAAAGAUGGGCUCGCGUCCGAUUAGGUAGUUGGCGGGGUAACGGCCCACCAAGCCGACGAUCGGUAGCCGGACUGAGAGGGUUGAACGGCCACAUUGGGACUGAGACACGGCCCAGACUCCUACGGGAGGCAGCAG